rnacentral:rRNA from 1 species
CAGUCGCCGCGGUAAUACGUAGGGUGCAAGCGUUAAUCGGAAUUACUGGGCGUAAAGCGUGCGCAGGCGGUUUGUUAAGACAGAUGUGAAAUCCCCGGGCUCGACCUGGGAACUGCAUUUGUGACUGGCAAGCUAGAGUGUGGCAGAGGGGGGUGGAAUUCCGCGUGUAGCAGUGAAAUGCGUAGAUAUGCGGAGGAACACCGAUGGCGAAGGCAGCCCCCUGGGCCAACACUGACGCUCAUGCACGAAAGCGUGGGGAGCAAACAGGAUUAGAGACCCCAGUAGUCCCUGUCUCUUAUAC